UACGAAGGGUGCGAGCGUUAAUCGGAAUUACUGGGCGUAAAGCGUGCGUAGGUGGCUUGUUAAGUCGGAUGUGAAAGCCCUGGGCUCAACCUGGGAACUGCAUCCGAUACUGGUGAGCUUGGAGUUUGGAAGAGGGUGGUGGAAUUCCCGGUGUAGCGGUGAAAUGCGUAGAGAUCGGGAGGAACAUCAGUGGCGAAGGCGGCCACCUGGUCCAAAACUGACGCUGAUGCACGAAAGCGUGGGGAGCAAACAGG
rnacentral:rRNA from 1 species